rnacentral:rRNA from 1 species
UACGAAGGGGGCUAGCGUUGUUCGGAAUUACUGGGCGUAAAGCGCACGUAGGCGGGUCGUUAAGUCAGGGGUGAAAUCCCGGAGCUCAACUCCGGAACUGCCUUUGAUACUGGCGAUCUUGAGAUCGGAAGAGGUGAGUGGAAUUCCCAGUGUAGAGGUGAAAUUCGUAGAUAUUGGGAAGAACACCAGUGGCGAAGGCGGCUCACUGGUCCGAAUACUG